AUUAUUUCACUUAAUUAUUGCAAUACAAUUAUGAGAAUGCUGUAUUGGUCUCUCCAUUGUACAGAUGAGGAAACUGAGGCUCAGCAAAAAGAAGCAAUGGACUCAGUGCCAGACACUGAAAAAGGAAGACAGCUGAGAUCUUAAAUUCAAAAGUUUUCUCUGCUUCUCAACACUGGGGCAGCUUCUGACUGGCCUUUGCCUAUCUUCUCUCUCUCUCUCUCUUUUGUUCUCUCUCUCUCUCUACUGAAAUGAAGGGCAAAAGGUAUGAAGACUCUAAUACCAGAAACAGACAAGAAACCAAGAGAAAACUCUCUCCUGAAGAGGCAACAUUGACAUGAGCACCAUUGUGGAUUUUUUUGAAUCAGUUGAACACUAUGCUUCACCCAGAAGAAAGAAACUUUUCACCUUGGACACAAUUCUGAUGCACACUUCGAUUGAUUCAUUUAUGCAACCAUUUUUACCAUCGGUGCACUCUGCCAGAGAAACCAUAGACUAGAGUUGGAAUCUUACUUCUCCAAAU
rnacentral:lncRNA from 1 species